rnacentral:rRNA from 1 species
GGGGGGGGGUGCUAUACAUGCAGUCGAACGAACUUCCGUUAAUUGAUUAUGACGUACUUGUACUGAUUGAGAUUUUAACACGAAGUGAGUGGCGAACGGGUGAGUAACACGUGGGUAACCUGCCCAGAAGUAGGGGAUAACACCUGGAAACAGAUGCUAAUACCGUAUAACAGAGAAAACCGCAUGGUUUUCUUUUAAAAGAUGGCUCUGCUAUCACUUCUGGAUGGACCCGCGGCGUAUUAGCUAGUUGGUGAGGUAAAGGCUCACCAAGGCAGUGAUACGUAGCCGACCUGAGAGGGUAAUCGGCCACAUUGGGACUGAGACACGGCCCAGACUCCUACGGGAGGCAGCAGUAGGGAAUCUUCCACAAUGGACGCAAGUCUGAUGGAGCAACGCCGCGUGAGUGAAGAAGGGUUUCGGCUCGUAAAGCUCUGUUGUUAAAGAAGAACGUGGGUAAGAGUAACUGUUUACCCAGUGACGGUAUUUAACCAGAAAGCCACGGCUAACUACGUGCCAGCAGCCGCGGUAAUACGUAGGUGGCAAGCGUUAUCCGGAUUUAUUGGGCGUAAAGCGAGCGCAGGCGGUCUUUUAAGUCUAAUGUGAAAGCCUUCGGCUCAACCGAAGAAGUGCAUUGGAAACUGGGAGACUUGAGUGCAGAAGAGGACAGUGGAACUCCAUGUGUAGCGGUGAAAUGCGUAGAUAUAUGGAAGAACACCAGUGGCGAAGGCGGCUGUCUGGUCUGCAACUGACGCUGAGGCUCGAAAGCAUGGGUAGCGAACAGGAUUAGAUACCCUGGUAGUCCAUGCCGUAAACGAUGAUUACUAAGUGUUGGAGGGUUUCCGCCCUUCAGUGCUGCAGCUAACGCAUUAAGUAAUCCGCCUGGGGAGUACGACCGCAAGGUUGAAACUCAAAAGAAUUGACGGGGGCCCGCACAAGCGGUGGAGCAUGUGGUUUAAUUCGAAGCUACGCGAAGAACCUUACCAGGUCUUGACAUUCUUCUGACAGUCUAAGAGAUUAGAGGGUCCCUUCGGGGACAGAAUGACAGGUGGUGCAUGGGUUGUCGUCAGCUCGUGUCGUGAGAUGUUGGGUUAAGUCCCGCAACGAG